UGUUCAGGUGCAGAACAACAGAUUUGUACCAAGGGAUUUGAACUUGCAACCUUUCGGCUACUAGCCCAACACUCUAACCACUAGGCUACCCUGCCGCCCCAAAUAUGCUGGACCCUAUGUCAGAUCGAUGUUUCUGGGACCACACUGUUUCUUUCAAGACAAUAACCCAAAACACACUGCAGCCUGGGUUUAUAUUGCAAAUGAGGGCAUAAACUGGGUCAAGAUGCCAGCAGAUAACUUAAUUGCCGCCUGUGGAAACGGAUGUCUCUACACCUUUCAUUAUGCAAGGCUAGGCUGCAAGAUCCAACGCUCAUACUCUGCAGUAGUUUACAAAAGAAUGUCAAUUUCAAUGCACAACAAGACAGGUUGAUUAUUUUGGAUUAGCAUCUGAACACUGGAGAAAAAAGUUGAUUUUCCUGGGGCACAAAAAAACACUUAAUUUUGAUUUCAACUUGUUCAACAACAAUUGGAACAGGAACUUGAUAGGAAAAUGCUUUAAUGUUGUUGACAAAAUGUGCUACUAAAUAUAUGUACUGUGGGAUAUGGUGGUGUGUUGCUGUGAUUAGCAUUUCAAUGAGCCUUGUUUGAAUACUCACAUUGAGAGCUUUGAACAGGAG
rnacentral:lncRNA from 1 species